AUGUGACGCUACUUGUUGAUUUAGUACAUACCGCUGUGCACUCUCGCAAGUUAGACAAAUUAAGUUCAAGGAUAAAAUACCGUUCUAUAACCGUUUCAGGCUGUUCAUUGACUGGUUGGUUAUUGUAUUAUUUGCUGUAUUUUCUGAUGUGAAUUGUCCUGCAACAAGAAAAGGCCAUGACUUAUCCACAGCCCAUCGAUGUGAGGUUGGAUUCAGGUUGCAUGUAACUGCACAUUGACAGGAAACCAUCAAAGCCGAACAGUGUCAUAAUUGGUAGCCAUGGCAACACAAUUGGUCUCCUCCACUCUCAUCGUGCUCUUGGCUGCCAUGUUGCACCAAUCAUCAGGAUGUUCUUGUGAUCGAAGUCCAAGAUUCUGCAUGUCAGACUUUGCUAUCAGAGGAACGAUUCUAGCUGUCCAACGCAAUGCCUUGACACAGGAAAAUUUGGUUUACAGCGUACAU